rnacentral:rRNA from 1 species
AAACGACUCUCGGCAACGGAUAUCCCGGCUCUCGCAUCGAUGAAGAGCGUAGCGAAAUGCGAUACUUGGUGUGAAUUGCAGAAUCCCGUGAACCAUCGAGUUUUUGAACGCAAGUUGCGCCCGAUGCCAUUAGGCUGAGGGCACGUCUGCCUGGGUGUCACGU